rnacentral:rRNA from 1 species
UACGGAGGGUGCGAGCGUUGUCCGGAAUCACUGGGCGUAAAGGGCGCGUAGGCGGCCUGAUAAGUAGGGGGUGAAAUCCUGCGGCUUAACCGCAGGGCUGCCUUCUAAACUGUCAGGCUAGAGCACAGUAGAGGCAGGUGGAAUUCCCGGUGUAGCGGUGGAAUGCGUAGAGAUCGGGAAGAACAUCAGUGGCGAAGGCGGCCUGCUGGGCUGUUGCUGACGCUGAGGCGCGCCAGCGUGGGGAGCAAACAGG